AAGUCGUAACAAGGUUUCCGUAGGUGAACCUGCGGAAGGAUCAUUACUGAAUUGUCAAACGGGUUGUUGCUGGCCCUCAUAGGGGCAUGUGCACGCUCUGUUUACACAUCCACUCACACCUGUGCACCCUCUGUAGUUCUAUGGUCUGGGGGACCCUGUCUUCCUUCUGUGGUUCUACUUCUUUACACACACACUGUAAUAAAGUUUUAUGGAAUGUACAUCGCGUCUAACGCAAUACAAUACAA
rnacentral:misc_RNA from 1 species